UGGGGAAUUUUGGACAAUGGGCGCAAGCCUGAUCCAGCCAUGCCGCGUGCGGGAAGAAGGCCUUCGGGUUGUAAACCGCUUUUGUCAGGGAAGAAAAGGUUCUGGCUAAUACCUGGGACUCAUGACGGUACCUGAAGAAUAAGCACCGGCUAACUACGUGCCAGCAGCCGCGGUAAUACGUAGGGUGCAAGCGUUAAUCGGAAUUACUGGGCGUAAAGCGUGCGCAGGCGGUUAUGCAAGACAGAGGUGAAAUCCCCGGGCUCAACCUGGGAACUGCCUUUGUGACUGCAUGGCUAGAGUACGGUAGAGGGGGAUGGAAUUCCGCGUGUAGCAGUGAAAUGCGUAGAUAUGCGGAGGAACACCGAUGGCGAAGGCAAUCCCCUGGACCUGUACUGACGCUCAUGCACGAAAGCGUGGGGAGCAAACAGGAUUAGAUACCCUGGUA
rnacentral:rRNA from 1 species